rnacentral:rRNA from 1 species
AUUGAACGCUGGCGGCAGGCCUAACACAUGCAAGUCGGGCGGAGCGGCGGACGGGUGAGUAAUGCCUAGGAAUCUGCCUGGGAGUGGGGGAUAACGUCCGGAAACGGGCGCUAAUACCGCAUACUAUCAGAUGAGCCUAGGGCGGAUUAGCUAGUUGGGGGGGUAAAGGCGUACCAAGGCGACGAUCCGUAACUGGGCUGAGAGGAUGAUCAGUCACACUGGAACUGAGACACGGUCCAGACUCCUACGUGAGGCAGCAGUGGGGAAUAUUGGACAAUGGGCGAAAGCCUGAUCCAGCCAUGCCGCGUGUGUGAAGAAGGUCUUCGGAUUGUAAAGCACUUUAAGUUGGGAGGCGUUACCAACAGAAUAAGCACCGGCUAACUUCGUGCCAGCCGCCGCGGUAAUUC